CAAUCCAAAGGUUUUAUAGGCUUGAAAUUACUCCAAGUGAACCUUCACACGUCUAAUAACCUAUAAAUAUAUAAAAAAACAAUAAAUAAUGAAUUAUUAUAAAUUAUAAAAAACCAUCAGUCAAUAUGCUUUCAAGAUCUAGUUGGGUUAGGUGGAUCUGGCUAACCAAUAAAUCAAUUAAAUUGGGAAAAAUAGUUUUUCCACAAUUUAAAAACGGUUGGAAAUCACGAUUUGCGAUUACUAUUUGUUUUUCUUCACGAUUUCUCCGUAGUUUCUGUAACACCCUUAACCGCCUGUAGUUAAGGUGUUCGAGGGAAUUCCCCAAAGAAAACGAUGAUGAAAGAAGAGAGAAUUUUCCCCAAGCGGGGCUAGAGAUAGAGAAGACGAUCACGGAGGAUCCCGGAGGAUAAAGAAAAUUAUAAACUGAAUUGAAACUUGAUUAUUCAUUCUCCUUUACAUCAUCUCUAUUUAACUAUGAAUUUUAUAACUACUUUUUGUUAGAUCUAACAACUCUUGAAAAAUGAUUAACUAACUAUACUCGAAGUUCUUGUUUUGUGUAGACUUGCAGACUCUUGCCGGAUAAGGCGGGUCUGGUUCCCCGGAUCCUGGAACCACUUCAGUCGAAGCCUCUUUUGCUCUGUUGUCUUCUAGCUCCAGUUCGGUCGUGAGCACACGUUCUGCUUCCUCUUGUUCAAUUAGCACUGUUACAGUUUCUUCCAUCCAACCUUGCAGCACCCUCAUUCCUUUCUCCGACAAAUUUCCAAAGACAUCCAAUGACCGACAACUAUCUUCCACAGUUCUAUCUAGAUUAGCUGCUCAUUAAUUAUCAGCUAAUAUUUGGUCAAUGAAUAUGUGCUGAUGAGGAUAUCGAGUUUAGUCAGAAGGCUUCCCGUGGGAGGAGCGUCGCUCCCGGGCCCUUCGAUCGGGGGGACCGGUCCGUACAUCGGGUCACCACCUCCGCCCCCGUCUGACUCGAGGGUGUGGGGGGCCACCGUGAGUUGGUGCACCUGCUCCUGCAGCUGGCGCUGACUCUCUUGUAGAGUGGAUAUCGAGUUCACGGGUUCAGUUCGAACCUUGAAAUAGAUUCGUUUAAUUAAACGAACCGAACCCAAACCUUAGUUGAGGUUCGACGAACGGUUCGGUUCGUUUAACAUUUUUAUUAUAUUUUAUUAUUUUAUAUUUAUAUUAGAAAAUUACAUUAUAUAAUUUUUUAUUAUAAAUUUAUAUUAUAUAUUUCAUAACUUAUGUAUAUUUUUACAAUUUUUUAUUAAUAUAGUAUGUUAAUGUUGGUUUCUAAUCAACAAGAAGAAAAGAUGACUAAGAAUUGAUUUAACAAAAG
rnacentral:lncRNA from 1 species